rnacentral:lncRNA from 10 species
CCAUGCCUCUCCCAAUAGUCCCGAGUCCAUUUCUACAUGGAGGGCAAGAUGGGCUAAAAAGCCUGCCCUAGGCUGUCUGACUCCCAGCCGUGAAAGAAAAGGGCUUGCUUUUCACCCACCCAUGGAGUCUGUAUACCCUAUUUGAGCCCUUCCCAAGUUCUGGCCAGGAGGCUUCUCAUCCCAUUCAAAUUGUUUAAAGUUCAGCUAGUGAUUUUCUUCUUCCUGUGGAGUUUUACUCUCUGCCACCCUAGCUGCCCUCUGGAUGGAUCCUUGUGGUGCCAGGCAGGAAUGGCCUGCUAGGGAACCCAGUGAGCUUCUAGGGCCUUUCUGCUGCUUCCUCUACCCCUGUAUUUCACUAGGCUCUCCAAAUUGACUCAGCUCCAGGUAAAGUUGGAAACUUUACCAGUUUCUGCUAACAGAACUUCAGCUUCUCCAGUGGGAGUGUUUGUUCAGGAGAGGAGGGUCUCCCUUUCCCACUUCCACAGUUGGGAUACUCCAGUGGGAGUGUUUGUUCAGGAGAGGAGGGUCUCCCUUUCCCACUUCCACAGUUGGGGUACUCACAGUAUUUGAUGUGUCUCUUGAGUCUUGCAGGAGCAGUCUGCUUCCUUCAGAGGGUCUGUUGUCCUCUCAGGAUUUCUGGUUCAUUCUUGCAGUUGAUCAGGAGCUAAAAUUCACAAUGCAAGCCUCCACAUGCUGCUUUGUGUGGAGCUGCAAUCUAGUCCUGCCUCCCAUCCACCAUGAUGAUCUCUCUCCUCCCCAGGACCCUUUUUUGCAGGAUGAAGAUGGGGAGUCGACAGAGGAGAUGAGGGCACUUAGUGGCUGUCCUGUGAGACUCAAGAAGGGAACAGCUUCUUUCCAAGAACUGAUGAGAAGCCUGAACCAGGACCCAGUAGAAGAAAAGGAACCCCUUGAGUUGCUGUUUGGCUGUUUAUAGACAGCGUCCAAGUUGGUCAGUGCCGCUGACAAUAGGUGCUUGGCUGAAAGCAUGGGCUAAAUUGGAUGACUGAUAAUGACAGUUAAUGCUGUGGUAACUGAACAUAAAGAAAAGAAGUAAAAAAGAAACAAAUAUCAAAAAGCGCAGUUCACUGUUCUUCAUGUUGGAAGAGAUGAUACAGAUGUUGAUAAAUAUGUAGCUGGACCCGAAAGCAACAAUAUGUGAAAAAGUGUUCUGCAUACUACAAAACCAAAGGAUAUUGGUGUCUAUUAAGUAAAUGCAACAGUUUAUUUAUCCCCUUGAUGAAUU